rnacentral:rRNA from 1 species
GAUGAACGCUAGCGGCAGGCUUAAUACAUGCAAGUCGUGGGGCAGCAUGAAUGUAGCAAUACAUUUGAUGGCGACCGGCAAACGGGUGCGGAACACGUACACAACCUUCCUAUAAGUGGGGAAUAGCCCAGAGAAAUUUGGAUUAAUACCCCGUAACAUAACGAUGUGGCAUCACAUUGUUAUUAUAGCUUCGGCGCUUAUUGAUGGGUGUGCGGCUGAUUAGAUAGUUGGCGGGGUAACGGCCCACCAAGUCUACGAUCAGUAGCUGAUGUGAGCGCAUGAUCAGCCACACGGGCACUGAGACACGGGCCCGACUCCUACGGGAGGCAGCAGUAAGGAAGAUUGGUCAAUGGACGCAAGUCUGAACCAGCCAUGCCGCGUGAAGGAUUAAGGUCCUCUGGAUUGCAAACUUCUUUUAUCUGGGACGAAAAAAGGCUUUUCUAAGUCACUUGACGGUACCAGAUGAAUAAGCACCGGCUAACUCCGUGCCAGCCGCCGCCGUAACAC